rnacentral:rRNA from 1 species
AAUAUAUGACCCGAUUAGCAGCUUCCGGGAAACCAAAGUUUUUCGUUUCCGGGGGAAGUAUGGUUGCAAAGCUGAAACUUAAAGGAAUUGACGGAAGGGCACCACCAGGAGUGGAGCCUGCGGCUUAAUUUGACUCAACACGGGAAAACUCACCCGGCCCGGACACCGUAAGGAUUGACAGACUGAGAGCUCUUUCUUAAUUCGGUGGGUGGUGGUGCAUGGCCGUUCUUAGUUGGUGGAGCGAUUUGUCUGGUUAAUUCCGAUAACGAACGAGACUCUGGCCUAUUAAAUAGACGAUAUAUUUCAAAGUAUAUCGCGCUUCUUAGAGGGACAAGCGGCGUCUAGCCGCAUGAAAUAGAGCAAUAACAGGUCUGUGAUGCCCUUAGAUGUCCGGGGCUGCACGCGCGCUACACUGAAAGAAUCAGAGUGCGUUAUACCUAGUUCGGAAGAACCGGGUAACCCAAGUAAAUUCUUUCGUGCUUGGGAUAGGGAAUUGCAAAUUAUUUCCCUUAAACGAGGAAUUUCCCAGUAAAUGCGGGUCAUAAGCUCGCGUUG